CGAUCACUGAAACCAUGCUGAAGGUAGCAUUUGUGCUUGGAUGCCUCCUGAGCCUCACUUUGACUCAACCUAUGGGUAUGGCGCGCAAAAGACUUGUGCGCUCAAGCUCUGAAUCUUACUCUGGGUCAGGGGAAGCCAAUCAACUGCCACAGUUAAACAAUCAACAGCUGCAGCUACUCAUACAAUUACUACUUGCCAGCCUAGCAACAACCACUACUAGAGCUCCAACCACUACAACAGCUGCACCCACCCCUCGUCCGGCUGUAACUGGUUAAAAACUGGCAUUUAACUAUUGAAUGAAAGUUAGCAUGCAGUGCAACUGUCAAUUUGUGAUAUUUUAAUGAGAAAA